AACGCACCUUGCACCCUUUGGUAUUCCGAAGGGUACACCCGUUUGAGUGUCAUUGUAAUCUCACUACGAUCGACUUUAUUGUCUUUCUGUAUGUGGACUUGGAUGCUGCCGUGGACUUCCACGGCUCGUCUGAAAUGCCUGAGUGUACCCCGCUUUGCGGCGUAUUCGGUGUGAUAAAUCUUCACCGGAGUUGAUCCAUUUCGGGUCGCGUCUUAAGGAGUGUGGCUCUAUGCUUCCAACCGUCUCUGUUUGGGACAAUCUCUGACAAUUUGACCUCAAAUCGGGUGGGACUACCCGCUGAACUUAA
rnacentral:misc_RNA from 1 species